rnacentral:rRNA from 1 species
UACAGGGGGUGCAAACGUUGCUCGGAAUCAUUGGGCGUAAAGCGCACGUAGGCGGUUCGUUAUGUCGGAUGUGAAAGCCCUUGGCUUAACCGAGGAAGUGCAUCCGAAACUGGCGAGCUAGAGUACUAAAGAGGAUCGCGGAAUUCCCGGUGUAGAGGUGAAAUUCGUAGAUAUCGGGGGGAACACCGGUGGCGAAGGCGGCGAUCUGGGUAGAUACUGACGCUGAGGAGCGAAAGCGUGGGGAGCGAAUAGG